rnacentral:lncRNA from 1 species
CUGUCUUCCUCGGAAGCAACACGGAAUUGUCAAUAAUGAAAAGGAAUCUGUUCGAUAAAAAUAAAUUAUAAUUGUAUGACAAUUAAAAACAAAUAAAACAGAUAAGAGCAAGGUCCGAAAAAGCAGCUCAGAAGGCAAGUGGUUUCUCAAGGUCCACAGUGGGUAAGUAGCAGAGCAGUUUACAAGUGCAAAUGUAUCUUGCUUCAGAGUCUAUGAUUGUAACCAC